GGAGAAGGGGUGAGGGGAGAGCAAGGAGAGCAGAGCUGGAGGAGAGACCUUGGAGGAUGUGGAGCAUGAACCAGACCUAAGAUUUCACAAAAAGAGGAUGUCUAAGGGCAACCAGCCCGAGGCCAGUGAUGCUGCGGUCCACCAAGCAUUCUCCAGACAAGAGGUCUGGGCUCUAGGAGAGGAGACUGCUCUGGAAACCAGGGACAAGGGCAGCAUGAUGGAGGACAAGGACCAUUAUCCCAGCCUCACCCACACACUUGCCUCCUUCCUGGAGCUGGCUAUUGACCAGGCAUUGUGCUCGUCCCAAGCCCCGUAACCUUGGAUCCCUGAGUCAGGAUGUGACACCUCUGUUCAAAGAAGUCCAGCCCUGAGCUUCCUUUUUCUAGAUGGAUUUCAGGCCUUCUACUGUCAUCUCUCCCAUGCUGAGUCUGGCAUGUGUGUCUACAUUUCAUGUCUGAGUGCCUUGUGUCCUGAGCGUAUAGGUGAGGAAACUUAGCCAAAUUCAAUAAAUGGUCAGGACAUUGGCCUGUGGUACUUACCACCAUCCACCAAAACAGGGUUGGUGGCUCUGGUCAGGAGCUGCUUGGUGAGACUGAUCUUGAGGGAUUCAUACCUGGUGAAGACCAACUUUUGCCACACAGACCCUGACCUGAAGAGAGCGGCUUGGGCCAGGCCCCUCUGCACAGCAGAGCACACAGAGCUCUGCAGCACGCAGAGCACACAGCAGUCAGAUCAUAGGCACAGGAAGUUCCCCCCUUCAGCUAAAGCUGUGGGUUUGGAGGUGGGAAUAAGGGAGAAAUUGGUUGGGAAAGAAGGGCAUGGAU